GCCUCGUAAAGAAAGUUCCUGCUGCUUCUUCUGCUAUGAUUGUAAAUUUCCUGAGGCCUCUCCAGCCACGCAGAACUAUGGUGUCAGAAUUGGAACAUGAAGUAGAACUUCCAGUAACCCCUAGGAGCAUCAAGUGACCCAGAGAGGUAACCCCCUCCACCAGGGUCCAUUGCAUCCAUUGCUCUCUCACAGCAACUGAGGCUCAUGGGACUGGAGUGGAGUCGGUAGGAAGGAACAGUCUUUGAAGUUAGAUGCGCCAGGUUGUAACCCCACUUCCACCAAUUGUGGUAACUUUGUGAGACAAGCCUCAAAUUUUACCACUGUACCAAGAAAUGAAAGCCAGAAUGUGGAAUUGGAGCUGGUAAUGACGACGUCAGGACAGGUUCAAAGGAAGCCCAUCACUUGAGUAAAAAUUUAUAGCCCUGCUUGUGCUGUGCUGUGCUGUGCUGUGAGUUUCAGUUCCGGGCCAGCAAAAGAUUUAUCAAAGGAAAGCAACAAGGUGUGUGGAAAUAGAAGAUCCCUGCUCAGGAACCCACUGUGGGCCAAUCAACAGCUUCCCAAAACGAGUCAGGGAGUUCCAGAAGCUCCCAUUCCGGUGCCAGCUGAGAAUCCAUUUGGAUAAUAACGGAGUAAAAACUCUGGUUUGGAGAAAGUUUCUGUAAUGUUUUUCUUUUUCCUUUUUGGUGGAAGGGAGAAUAAAGGAGGAUAUUGCCUGGUAAGCAUGCAAAGAAAAAAAGUCACGCCAAUUUCACUAGAAUUGCCCAGAACCUCAACUCUGGUGAACUGCAGGUGACAACACUUCACACUGUUUACAUGAUUGGGGCUUCCCUGGAAACUGCGCUGACCCUGAGAUGAUUGAACAUUUAGAGUAAAACCCUUGAUGUAGUUCAUAAAAUUGGAUUCAAAUGAAAAGUUUAAUGUGGAGUCAUUCAAAAAUAACACUAAGAGCUCUUCCCUGAAUUCAAAAGAAAAAGGAAGGAAAACAUGUUAGUCUUAGCAGGAGCCAAGGCUGCAGGUGGGGGAAGAUGGAGAGGACAGUGUUUGGGUUUUAUUAUGUUUACUUUUCUCUUACGGAAGAAUAGAAGAUGGAUGACUUGAUGCCUGAGGUAAUUCAGUAUGUUUCACCAAUUUGGAGAUGGUCAUUUGUCCAUACUUAAGUCUCAGUAAUUAUGUUGAAAUAUUAUAAUUUCUGUAAGCUGGGAAGGUUACAAUGUGGUGGUUGUCAUUGCCCGGGCAUGCACAAACUUGGUCGUGAUUCCUGGUGGCAUGAUUAGACAGACAACUGCAACCCCUUGACACUUAAUUCCAGAAAUCAUUUAAGAAUCACUUGAAAAAGGAAUAUAUUAUUGUUCUCCUUCCAAUAACCAAGUGUCUUCUGAAAACCUUUCAUUGUCACUUUCUGGUAAUUGAACAAUGAGAACACAUGGACACAGGAAGGGGAACAUCACACACUGGGAAC
rnacentral:lncRNA from 1 species